GGACAAGAAGGUCGGGCUACCCUUGAGGGAAACACGGCAGCUAACGGGCAAUAGGCUGAUGGCGGGGAGAACAGAUAGCGAGGGAGGCAGAUGGGGCUGGUGGGUACAACCCAUACUUCUGAAAACAGCGGGUGCUCCUGCCAUUACGAUGCGUCAGGCGCGGUGCUAAUGACUUUAGGGGCACUAUUUAAUUUAGACCUUCCCACAUCUCUGUAAGGUGAAGAAACUAAGAUUCCAAAGGGAUUAAGUAAGACUGGUCCAAGGUCACACGUCCGGGAAACAGUAAAACUGUGAUUUGAACCUGAGCCUGUUCAUCACCCCCUCUCCUGCCAUUUUAGAGGGGUAGAGGGAAAGAAGAGAGUAAAGAAGCCAGCUUCAACAGGGCUCGAAGCCCAGAGGGAAGGAUCAGCCACAAUCAAAUUUCCCCUCAUGGAAGAUCCAUUUAAAAUAUAGACCUCCCCCCACCCCCCGACAAUGGGGGGAGUGCAGCAGCUUCCUUUUAAUAUAUGAAGGACUGCUUUCUACAAGAUGGACAGGCCUCUACUUUUUAGCCGUGAAACAGAGGGAAGAGUAACCAGUGCUUCUCUACUGCUCCAGGAGGCGGCAGGCAUAGUAAUAAUGACAGUUCACAUUUAGCAGCCCCUUUACCAGUACCAGACUACUGUAAGCAUUCUAUAUGAAUUGACUCAUUUGAUCCUCACAACAACUCCAUUUUCUAGAUGAGAAAACUGAGGCACAAAAUGCUGAAGUAACUUGCCCAUGGUAGAGAAGAAAGGACGCUGGAUGAGAGAGGGAAGGGACCUGGAUUCUAGUCCGCCACUGCUGCUCACUGACCUGAGCAACUCUUUUCCCCCAGUCUGUUGUGAUUUCCUCUCUGUAAAAUGGGGAAGAUUGACCACA